rnacentral:rRNA from 1 species
AACGAACGCUGGCGGCAGGCCUAACACAUGCAAGUCGAGCGAGGACUUCGGUCCUAGCGGCGGACGGGUGAGUAACGCGUGGGAACGUGCCCCCUUUCUACGGAAUAGCCCCGGGAAACUGGGAGUAAUACCGUAUAAGCCCUACGGGGGAAAGAUUUAUCGGGAAGGGAUCGGCCCGCGUUGGAUUAGGUAGUUGGUGGGGUAAUGGCCUACCAAGCCGACGAUCCAUAGCUGGUUUGAGAGGAUGAUCAGCCACACUGGGACUGAGACACGGCCCAGACUCCUACGGGAGGCAGCAGUGGGGAAUCUUAGACAAUGGGCGCAAGCCUGAUCUAGCCAUGCCGCGUGAGCGAUGAAGGCCUUAGGGUUGUAAAGCUCUUUCAGGGGGGAAGGAUAAU